rnacentral:rRNA from 1 species
CAUCAGUGGUAUAUUCGUACCCUGUCGGAACCGCGGGGCCACCGCUUGAAGGCCGCCGGGGGGGCGCCUCUGAACCCCGGGCCCGUGCCCGCCGGAGACCCCAACACGAACACUGUCUGAAAGCGUGCAGUCUGAGUUGAUUGAAUGCAAUCAGUUAAAACUUUCAACAAUGGAUCUCUUGGUUCCGGCAUCGAUGAAGAACGCAGCGAAAUGCGAUAACUAAUGUGAAUUGCAGAAUUCAGUGAAUCAUCGAGUCUUUGAACGCACAUUGCGCCCCCUGGUAUUCCGGGGGGCAUGCCUGUCCGAGCGUCAUUGCUGCCCUCAAGCCCGGCUUGUGUGUUGGGUCGCCGUCCCCCUCUCCGGGGGGACGGGCCCGAAAGGCAGCGGCGGCACCGCGUCCGAUCCUCGAGCGUAUGGGGCUUUGUCACAUGCUCUGUAGGAUUGGCCGGCGCCUGCCGACGUUUUCCAACCAUUCUUUCCAGGUUGACCUCGGAUCAGGUAGGGAUACCCGCUGAACUUAAGCAUAUCAAUAAGCGGAGGAA